UUGGACUACUGGGGUUUCUAAUCCUGUUUGCUCCCCACGCUUUCGUACAUGAGCGUCAGAACAGGCCCAGUCAGCUGCCUUCGCCAUUGGCGUUCCCAUGAAUAUCUACGCAUUUCACCGCUCCACUCAUGGUUCCACUGACCCCUACCUGCCUCAAGCCCUGUGGUUCACCGUGCAGUUCCCCGGUUAAGCCGGGGGAUUUCACACGAUGCCUUCAGGGCCGCCUGCGUACGCUUUAAGCCCAGUGAUUCCGAUUAACGCUCGGGCCCUCUGUAUUACCGCGGCUGCUGACAC
rnacentral:misc_RNA from 1 species